AGCGAACGCUGGCGGCAGGCUUAACACAUGCAAGUCGAGCGGGCACUUUCGGGUGUCAGCGGCGGACGGGUGAGUAACGCGUGGGAACGUGCCCUCUGGUUCGGAAUAACUCAGGGAAACUUGAGCUAAUACCGGAUACGCCCUUUGGGGAAAGGCUUGCUGCCGGAGGAUCGGCCCGCGUCUGAUUAGCUAGUUGGUGAGGUAACGGCUCACCAAGGCGACGAUCAGUAGCUGGUCUGAGAGGAUGAUCAGCCACACUGGGACUGAGACACGGCCCAGACUCCUACGGGAGGCAGCAGUGGGGAAUAUUGGACAAUGGGCGCAAGCCUGAUCCAGCCAGGCCGCGUGAGUGAUGAAGGCCUUAGGGUUGUAAAGCUCUUUUAUCCGGGACGAUAAGGACGGUACCGGAGGAAUAAGCCCCGGCUAACUUCGU
rnacentral:rRNA from 1 species